GUGGGCUACGGGGACAUGGUGCCCAAAACGUACCUCGGCAUGUUCGUGGGAGCGCUCUGCGCCCUGGCAGGCGUUCUCACCAUAGCACUUCCGGUUCCUGUCAUCGUCUCCAAC
rfam:Zootermopsis nevadensis contig6814, whole genome shotgun sequence.